rnacentral:rRNA from 1 species
UACGUAGGGUGCAAGCGUUGUCCGGAAUUAUUGGGCGUAAAGGGCUCGUAGGCGGUCCAUCGCGUCGGGAGUGAAAAGCUGGGGCUCAACCCCAGUCCUGCUUCCGAUACGGGUGGACUAGAGGUAUGCAGGGGAGAACGGAAUUCCUGGUGUAGCGGUGAAAUGCGCAGAUAUCAGGAAGAACACCCGUGGCGAAGGCGGCUCUCUGGGACGGUACUGACGCUGAGACGCGAAAGCGUGGGGAGCGAACAGG